AGCUGCCUGAUGCAUAAAUUGUUCUUUUCUGAAACAAACUGUUAAAUUUACUUUGUUGAAAGUUUUUAUUUGAACAGAUCUGGUGUUGUUAAGGGAGGAGACCACCCCUCAUAUUGUCUUAUGCCCAAUUUCUGCCUCUAAAGGAAGAAGAAAUGAAAACUAAAAGGCAGAAAUGAAAUCCACAGGCAGACAGCCCAAUGCCGCGCCCUGGGCCUGGUAGGUAAAGAUCAACCUCGACCUAACCGGUUAUGCUAUAUAUAGAUUCCAGACAUUGUUUGGAAAAGCACUGUGAAAAUCCCUGCCCUGUUCUGUUCCAUGCUGAUUACCGGUACAUGCAGCCCCCAGUCAUGUACUGCCUGCUUGCUCAAUCGAUCAUGACCCUCUCACGCAGACCCCCUUAGAGUUGUGAGCCCUUAAAAGGGACAGGAAUUGCUCACUUGGAGAGCUCGGUUUUUGAGACCUGAGUCUUGCUGACACUCCUGGCCAAAUAAAGCCCCUCCUUCUUUAACUCAGUGUCUGAGAGGUUUUGUCUGCGGCUUGUCCUGCUACAUUGUAAGUGAGAUCCAAAGGUGCCCUCCUGAUGACGACCUUUAGGAGCAAUGAGCAAACAGCUGUAGCAUACUCUGAACCUUCGAAACUUUUCACUCUGUUAACUUCUCAUCCCAAAGGGAAAAAUAAAACCAGAAAAAUGCCUUAUAAAUUUAGGCCCUCAGAU
rnacentral:lncRNA from 10 species